UCGGGGGUCGUCUAACGGUAGGACUCUGGGUUUUGGUCCCAGCUAUCGGGGUUCGAAUCCCUGCCCCCGAGCCA
rnacentral:tRNA from 2 species